UCAAUGCAUUCUCAAUCAACUGAUUGAUAGCAAGAGUAGUAUUGUAAAGCUCAAGCGCAGUAUCAGAUACUUUUGAUUAGAGGAAAACAGAAUGUUAGCAUCAUAUAUGCAGCCUGUGGGUACUCCUCCCUGAUUCUCUAUGUCACCAAUCCAGCACCAACAGAGUGGCACUCUUGGAAACUUGAAAACACAAGAUAUUGCAAAUUAUGCCUACUGUCCCAAGUCGUAAAUCCUCUGUCCCAACUGAAUUUUAUUGCAACACAUGAAAGUAGAUGUGACUUCACAUGCUAUAAGCUUAUAAUUGUAUCUGUGUCGAUUGAUAUAAAUUUGUUCAUCUCAGUCUUAUACUGUACAUAAUAGAGCGCAAAAAUCUGAGUUGUAUCUUCAGAAUCUGGUGGACUGCCGCUGUAAAUGUGAUUAUUUUGUACGUGUUUAUGACUUCUGCAUAGCUAUUUUAAGUAAUUGAGUGACUGCCCAAACAAGGUUGUUUCAUUGCAAGAGAAUUGUGCUACAGCUAAUCUUGACGCGGCAUGUUUUGCAGAUUGGAAGAUGGGAGCUUGCUAUCUGAACAGAGUACUUUUACCUCUCACUAUUAAGUUAUUCCUUUUUUCCUAUUCUGCUUUGGAAUAAUUGAGACAAUAUUUCAUCGUUUAUUUGGUGUUUUAUUGACUGAAGCUUGAUCUUCUCUUCUUAACUGCAAACAUGAUUUUAAAAUCAUAUUGAUACAGUAAAACAGUUCGAGCAUAUUGUGCUUUAAAUCUGUGGUGACAACUAACAGAGAUUACAUACUAAUUAUCGUUGACCUUUUCAACACACCCUUUUGUACAUUGUACUUACUUACCAUGUUAUAAGCCAUAUUUGGGUGAUAAUUGCUGAAACAUCGUUUCCUUGUAGAUACGAGAAUGGAUAUCGAAGAGUGAGACAACUUGCUGAUAAAAUGAUCAAGUUUUGCAAAGAAAAGGAAAAUAGGGAAUCAAAUAAUGGCUUAGCAUAUAUUUUGUGGAAGGUGAUCCGGGCUACAUAUCUUCAUCUUAUGAACAUGAAAUGUGUGGUCCUGAUGUUGAUAAGCUGGAUAAUGUCCUAUCAGAUGCAUCGAGAGCCUCCAACAUUGUUGCAUUGUUG